rnacentral:rRNA from 1 species
CCUGCAGCUUAACUGCAGAAUUGCCAUUGAAACUGCUGUUCUUGAGUACAGUUGAAGUGGAUGGAAUGUGUUAUGUAGCGGUGAAAUGCAUAGAUAUGACACAGAACACCGAUAGCGAAGGCAGUUCACUAAACUGUAACUGACGCUGAGGCACGAAAGCGUGGGUAGCAAACAGGAUUAGAUACCCUGGUAGUCCACGCCGUAAACGAUGAUUACUCGAUGUGUGCGAUAAACAGUACGCGUCCAAGCGAAAGUGUUUAGUAAUCCACCUGGGAAGUACGUCCGCAAGGAUGAAACUCAAAGGAAUUGACGGGGGCCCGCACAAGCGGAGGAGCAUGUGGUUUAAUUCGAUGAUACGCGAGGAACCUCACCUGGGCUUAAAUGCAGAACGACGUACUGGGAAACCAGUAUUUCUUCGGACGGACUGCAAGGUGCUGCAUGGUUGUCGUCAGCUCGUGCCGUGAGGUGUCGGGUUAAGUCCCAUAACGAGCGCAACCCUUAUCUUUAGUUGCCAGCAUGUAAUGAUGGGGACUCUAAAGAAACUGCCUACGCAAGUAGUGAGGAAGGUGGGGACGACGUCAAAUCAGCACGGCCCUUAUGUCCAGGGCUACACACGUGCUACAAUGGCUGGUACAGAGGGCAGCUACCUGGUAAUUGGAUGCUAAUCUCUAAAACCAGUCUCAGUUCGGAUUGAAGUCUGCAACUCGACUUCAU